UACGGGGGGGGCAAGCGUUGUUCGGAUUUACUGGGCGUAAAGGGCGCGUAGGCGGCAAAUCAAGUCAGCUGUGAAAUCUCCGAGCUUAACUCGGAACUGUCAGCUGAUACUGUUUUGCUAGAGUGCGGAAGGGGCAAUCGGAAUUCUUGGUGUAGCGGUGAAAUGCGUAGAUAUCAAGAGGAACACCUGAGGUGAAGACGGGUUGCUGGGCCGACACUGACGCUGAGGCGCGAAAGCCAGGGGAGCAAACGGG
rnacentral:rRNA from 1 species